rnacentral:rRNA from 1 species
GUGGGGAAUCUUCCGCAAUGGGCGAAAGUCUGACGGAGCGACGCCGCGUGAGUGAAGAAGGCCUUCGGGUCGUAAAGCUCUGUCAUCAGGGACGAACGGCCGGUGGAGUGGAAAGCCACCGGAUUGACGGUACCUGAGAAGGAAGCCACGGCUAACUACGUGCCAGCAGCCGCGGUAAUACGUAGGUGGCAAGCGUUGUCCGGAAUUAUUGGGCGUAAAGCGCGCGCAGGUGGGAUCUUAAGUCCAUUUUGAAAGUUCGGAGCUCAACUCCGUGAUGGGAUGGAAACUGGGAUUCUUGAGUACCGGAGAGGAAAGCGGAAUUCCCCGUGUAGCGGUGAAAUGCGUAGAUAUGGGGAGGAACACCAGUGGCGAAGGCGGCUUUCUGGACGGUGUCUGACACUGAGGCGCGAAAGCUAGGGGAGCGAACGGGAUUAGAAACCCCGGUAGUCC